CUCAGAAUAGUACAUAUUUAGAAUUUAUGACUGUUUAUUUCUGGAAUUUUCCAUUUCCUAUUUUCAGAAUGCGGUUGACUGCAGGUGACUGAAAUGAUGGAUGAGGGUGAACUACCAUACAGGACUCUAGGCAGGCAUGCCCAAGUGACUACCAGUAGCCAGUGAGAUUGUACAACCCCAGGUUUAGGCUACAUCACUGAUGAGGCAAAUGGCAUUCUUCAACAGUGACAUUCCUUUUUCACUACACCUAAAGUGGUUUCAAACACUGUGCUCUUAUUAUCUCUGCUAUCUUAUUUUUUUGGUGAGGAAGUUUGGCCCUGUGUUAACAUCUGUUGCCAAUCUUCCUCUUUUUGCUUGGGGAGGUUGUCCCUGAGCUAACAUGUGUGCCAAUCUUCCUCUAUUUUAUAUGUAGGAUGCCACCACAGCAUGGUUUGACGAGCAGUGUGUGGGUCCAUGCCCAGGUUCCAAACCCGCAAACCCCAAGCUGCCAAAGCAGCGCACGUGAACUUAACCACUAUGCCACCAGGACGGCCUCUGCAUUAUUUUUGAUGGAACUGAAGCUGAGAAGGCAGUGUCGCACAGGCCUGAGUCUGGGAAGUGGACCCAGAGUUAACGAGCAAGAAGUCCACAGGUUAUAUUGAAUGGCUGCCCUCCUAUCUUGUCUGGAAGAGAUCCCCAGAGGACCCCAGCUCUCAGAGCCAGAAAUUGGUUUCUUCCUUCCAAGCAGACAUGACUCCCCAGACUCUGACCCUUGGGAUGUAUGCACAAAACAUUUCUUUCCAUUCCGUCACCCAGGUAUCCACCGAGGCUUCCCUGCCACUCUGGCACCUGCAACUGAAAUGCUGUCCCUGUGCUCUGUUCUUUUUGUAGUUUUUUCACUACCUCAUAUUACAUUCUAAGCUUAUAGGUUAACUUGCUCAUUAUUUGACUCCACCACUAAAAAUAUAAAUUCCAUGAGAGAAGGCAAUUUGCUCUCUUUUUCACGACUGGAUCGUCAGAGCUUAAACAGUGGCUGGAACAUACAGUGAAUUCAACAAGUACCUGUUAAAUGAAUAAAUGAUUUAAAUAACACAGUCACUCUGUGCAGCUGAACAAAAAACUCAGCUCUGAUUCAAGAACUACUAAAUAAUUAACUCUACAAAAAUAUUACUUGGAAAUGUUGAUUUUACUGAAGAUUUUGGAUGGGAAAUAGAGAAAGGAUUUAUAUUGGAACUCUUCAUUAAAAAUUGUUCAACCUCAUUCAUAACAAAAAGAAUGCAAAUUAAAAUCGGACCAAGAAGCCUGCAGAGCCUAGGAAGAGUAAACAGAACUGUGGAGAUGGGGAGAGAAAGGAGGGGAAGGGAGGUACCUGGCACAUAGCCCAAGGGAACGAGAAAAGUAUUUAUGUGGGAGAGGGGCAGAGAUGUGAGAUGUGUUACAUACAGGAGGGAUGCUCAAAUAAACAACUAUUUAAGGAUAAUGUGAGCUAAGUUUCUCACUGUCAGAGAAGGGAAUUAAAAAUACAGAAAAGGAGAAAACUAUAAUGAAUCAUGUGAUGUUGGAUAAGAAUUGAAGGUAUGGUAUCAACCUAUAGUUGUAAUGUAUAGAAAUAAAUAAAUAUAGAUGUAAACAUGUGUCUAUUAAGAAGGCCUAGGAAUAGAGAUAACCCAAUAGUGAGGAGCACACGUAGCACCCAGAUCUUG
ensembl:lncRNA